rnacentral:rRNA from 1 species
GGGUGGCGAGUGGCGAACGGGUGAGUAACAUAUCGGAACGUACCGAGCAGUGGGGGAUAACUAAUCGAAAGAUUAGCUAAUACCGCAUAUUCUCUGAGGAGGAAAGCAGGGGACCUUCGGGCCUUGCGUUAUUCGAGCGGCCGAUAUCUGAUUAGCUAGUUGGUGGGGUAAAGGCCUACCAAGGCGACGAUCAGUAGCGGGUCUGAGAGGAUGAACGGCCACAUUGGGACUGAGACACGGCCCAAACUCC